rfam:Microbacterium sediminis strain YLB-01 Scaffold4_1, whole genome shotgun sequence.
CCGCCGUUCCAUUCACUACGGAUCGUCCGGCACGUACCUGCCGGUGAAGGAGAAACUG